AGAUAUUCUGUGAACCGCAUUAAGAUUUUUACACAAAAAUAGAAAAAAACGAUAAAUUUUGGGGGUCCCCCAUACUUAGAACUGAAACUCAAAAAAUUUUUUUUUCAUCAAACCCAUACGUGUGGGGUAUGGAUAGGUCUUCAAAAAUGAUAUUGAGGUUUCUAAUAUUAUUUUCUUCUAAACUGAAUAGUUUGCGCGAGAGACACUUCCAAAGUUGUAAAAUGUGUGUCCCCCCCCCCCCUGUAACUUCUAAAAUAAGAG